AGUCAUCGCAACCACCUCAGCUGCUCUUGUCUCACCAUCGGAUUCCUGCAGCGACAUCAUGAAGAUUUUCAUCGCGCUCGCUUUCCUAUUCACCGUCGCCGUCGCUUCUCACGGCUACGGCAACGCUGGCCACGGCGGCUACGGCGGCAACGCUGGCCACGGCGGCAACGCUGGCUACGGCGGCAACGCUGGCUAUGGUCAUGGCGGCUACACGCAGUCUCCCGGCUACUACACUACCACAAUAUACGGUCCUGUGAAGAGAGGUCAUCUCGGAGGUCACGGACAGAGGAGCAGCGCAUUGAACUUCGCCAAGAACGGCAGAGCGUACGGAUCCCUGUACGCGCACGACCACGCGAAUGCGCAGGAGAGCGCAGCCAAGACAAGAGGCUACCAGUAUCAAUACGCGUAAAGAGGGACACAAGUACUACCAGCCCAAGAAGCUGUACAGCUACAGCGAGUCCGGCCCCAUCAUCGGAUACCAGAGUGUGUACGGUUACGGACACUAGACCGGAAACAUGAAACGCUCCGAUGGACCAACAGGAACCGAAAGAACAAAACCGAAGGACCCACAGAAACCGGAAGAAACGAACAUAAGGGACUGACAGGAACCGGAACAACGAACGCGAGGAGCUAAUAGGAACGGAAGCAACGCACAGCGAUGGUAAACUGCGAGUCUGCGAGAUUCCUGAAAGCGAUAUGCAUUGAUAUACGCGGGAUACGCAUUUUACAACUACAUGCCAAUUCGCCCAAACACAGUAGGAAUUCCAAAAACAUCCUCCAACGUGACAAAUUUGUUUGCGUGAGAAAUUAGGCGCGAAAAAAAUCGCAACGCAAACAUCGCAGACGAUCCAAGAAUCUCGCGAGUUUUCGUCGAUAUUCCGCGCGAUGGGAGAGUCAACAUCGAGUCAAGGACGUGGUUAAAGGUCAAGGCUCCUUAAUUGCGCAUGUCUAUAUAGGCGCACACUGUAAAUAGCAUUCCAGCGAUGUUCUCACGAUGGAAGAAUGCACCAUGGUUGCGGGGAGGAAACGGGCGGGAUUUUUGUAAUAUUGAUAUUACGUGUGAAAUGUACAAAAAACUCGAAGUUUUUUAGAUGGCCUUCUAAAUGUUACAAUUGCUGUUAAUUGAUAUCGUUCACUUGUUACUAGAAAUGAAAUCUGCUGUGGCAGUCAUUCUGUACGUGAAUAUAUAGAAAUAUAUAUAUAUAUAUAUAUGUAUAUUUAUGAUAUAGAAAUAUAUACAUAUAUGCGUGUAUACGUGUGUGUUAAUAUAAAUUACCGUUUAUUCAUGUAUGCUCGAUCUCCUGCUUCGCGUGGAUUCGAGAAUAAA